rnacentral:lncRNA from 1 species
AAAAUCACCUUUUUGGUAAAAUGACCAUUUUGCCUCUAGACUUUCAUAAAAUUACAAUUUUACCUUUAGGCCCAGAAAUCGAUUUGUAUCGAAUUUCCUUAUUAGUCAAGCCUAACCGACCAAUUAUUACUCUUAUGAAAACCCUAAGUUUCCACUAUUUCACACAAUUACAACCUACUUUAUAACUUUUACAAAAUAGCCCUUUUAGGUGUUUUCCAUGAAAAUCCUUUCACGAAAGUUGUUUAUUACACAACCAAGACUCAUUUUCUUCCAUAAAAAUUUAGCAACGACAUAAAUCCUUUCAUCAAAAAUCCC